rnacentral:rRNA from 1 species
UACGUAGGGGGCAAGCGUUGUCCGGAUUUAUUGGGCGUAAAGAGCGUGUAGGCGGUCAGGUAGGUCCGUUGUGAAAACUCGAGGCUCAACCUCGAGACGCCGAUGGAAACCAUCUGACUAGAGUCCGGAAGAGGAGAGUGGAAUUCCUGGUGUAGCGGUGAAAUGCGCAGAUAUCAGGAAGAACACCGUGGCUAAGGCGGCUCUCUAGUACGGUACUGACGCUGAGACGCGAAGCGUGGGAGCGAACAGG